GUUCAGCCCUGUUAAGUGCUUGUGCAAUGCUCCAGAACAUGAUGGGUGUUGAACACCCUUCUGCUAUCCUGUCUCUAGGCUGGUAUGGGUACGAGUUCCUCAUUUUAGUUUUUCUCAACACAUACACAGAUUGCAGAAAACAUAAUGGUAUAGUGGGCAAAUCAUUACAAAGUAAAUAUUUCUGUCACCAACUUAGAAAAGAUCAUGCUAAGCCCUAGAAGUCCCUCAUGCUCCUUCCAGUCCCAUCACCUGUUAUCCUCUCUAAAGGAAACCAUGGCCUGAUGGUUCGGGGGACACUUGCUUGCUUCUCCCUAGAGUUUUACCGCCAUCUUGUGUAUACCUUAACAUUAUGCUUUAGUGUUUCUUGGUUUUGAACUUUACAGGGAUGGAAUCAUACGGUGUACGUUAUCUUAACGUCUGGAUUCUUUAGCUCACUGUUUUUAAGGGUCAUUCACUUUGGAGUGGUACAACCAUAGUUUUUCAUUUUUAUUGCUGUACAUUAAUUUGCUGUGUGAACACACCACAAUUUAUCCAUUCCUCUAUGAAUGGAUAUUUGGGUUGUUUUUGGUGGUCACCAAUAAUGUUGCCAAAAACAUUCUUGUAAGUAUCUCAGUUAUCUAGUCCACAGUUCCCGGAAACUUAGUAUGCUUUUAUAGCAAUGAUUAUUAUAGUGCCCCAAACUCUUCUUUCUAGUCACUUUUUCUUUGGGGUCUGGGGAUAUCACAAAAAGUUUAGCCCAAAGAAACUUAGAAAACUAUUGAUUUGGGCCACCUGGAAGGCAGGAUUGUUUCUGCCUUGUUUACCAUUAGAUUCCUAGUUCCUACCAAUUUGGUUAUCCUAUGAAUGGAUUCUAGAAGUGGAAUCUGUAUGAUGUUAAACCAAGCUUAAAUAGUAAACUUUUCCCAAGGUUUCUAUAGGUAAGACCUGUAUUUUCUUACUAUAACCUUCUCUAACCCACAUGACUUUCAUACUUCCCACUUUGUAUUAUAUUUAUUCCUAUACAUAUGUUUUAUACAUUUGAUUGUAAACUUCUAGUGAGAAAAAAAAUGCCCCCAGAUUAAUUUUGUAACUGUAUCAGUCAACUUUUUAUCACUAUGACAGAUACCUGAGAAAAAAAACUUAGAGGA
rnacentral:lncRNA from 1 species